GAUGAACGCUGGCGGCGUGCCUAAUACAUGCAAGUCGAGCGAACAGACGAGGAGCUUGCUCCUCUGACGUUAGCGGCGGACGGGUGAGUAACACGUGGAUAACCUACCUAUAAGACUGGGAUAACUUCGGGAAACCGGAGCUAAUACCGGAUAACAUGUUGAACCGCAUGGUUCAACAGUGAAAGACGGCUUUGCUGUCACUUCUAGAUGGAUCCGCGUCGCAUUAGCUAGUUGGUAAGGUAACGGCUUACCAAGGCAACGAGGCGUAGCCGACCUGAGAGGGUGAUCGGCCGCACUGGAACUGAGACGCGGUCCAGACGCCUACGGGAGGCAGCAGUAGGGAAUCUUCCGCAAUGGGCGAAAGCCUGACGGAGCAACGCCGCGUGAGUGAAGAAGGUCUUCGGAUCGUAAAACUCUGUUAUUAGGGAAGAACAAAUGUGUAAGUAACUAUGCACGUCGUGACGGUACCUAAUCAGAAAGCCACGGCUAACUACGUG
rnacentral:rRNA from 1 species